UCAGAACGUCGUGAGACAGUUCGGUCUCUAUCUACUGUGGGCGUUAGAAAUUUGAGUGGAUCUGACUCUAGUACGAGAGGACCGAGUUGGACAAACCUCUGGUGUAUCUGUUGUCACGCCAGUGGCAUUGCAGAGUAGCUACGUUUGGAAGGGAUAAGCGCUGAAAGCAUAUAAGCGCGAAACCCACCACAAGAUGAGAUUUCUUUAAAGGGUCGUGGGAGAUGACCACGUUGAUAGGCUACAGGUGUAAGCGCAGUAAUGUGCGUAGCCGAGUAGUACUAAUAACCCAUAGGCUUAUUGUACGCC
rnacentral:rRNA from 1 species